rnacentral:rRNA from 1 species
AGCGAACGCUGGCGGCAGGCCUAACACAUGCAAGUCGAACGAACUCUUCGGAGUUAGUGGCGGACGGGUGAGUAACACGUGGGAACGUGCCUUUAGGUUCGGAAUAACUCAGGGAAACUUGUGCUAAUACCGAAUGUGCCCUUCGGGGGAAAGAUUUAUCGCCUUUAGAGCGGCCCGCGUCUGAUUAGCUUGUUGGUGGGGUAAUGGCCCACCAAGGCGACGAUCAGUAGCUGGUCUGAGAGGAUGACCAGCCACAUUGGGACUGAGACACGGCCCAAACUCCUACGGGAGGCAGCAGUGGGGAAUCUUGCGCAAUGGGCGAAAGCCUGACGCAGCCAUGCCGCGUGGAUGAUGAAGGUCUUAGGAUUGUAAAAUCCUUCCACCGGUGAAGAUAAUGACUGUAGCCGGAGAAGAAGCCCCGGCUAACUUCGUGCCAGCCGCCGCAGUAAUAC